rnacentral:lncRNA from 1 species
CUAACCCCCAGGUUUGCAGGUACGGGAUUGAUAGAGAAGCAAAGAAGAGAAAAGUCAUAUGUAUGUAAUAGUUAGAGUUUGUGGACAUGACAAUGAUAAGAAUGUAAUGUAGAGUUUUGAACAGUUGUGUAAUUAUGUUAUUGAGGAUAGAGUUGUGCUUGACCAUAAUGUAUUGCUAAUCCCAUUUAUUUUAUGUACAUGAUCUUAUGAUAUGAUGUUUAUGCAAAACUAACUCAACACAUGAUGUAUAGCCCUUCGAGGCUUUGAUGAGAUCCCACAGAGGGACUUUAUUUAUGUAUAUGUUCA